CGUGCCAGCAGCCGCGGUAAUACGGAGGGUGCAAGCGUUAUCCGGAUUUAUUGGGUUUAAAGGGUCCGCAGGCGGGAUUCUAAGUCAGUGGUGAAAGCCUACAGCUUAACUGUAGAACUGCCAUUGAAACUGGAAUUCUUGAGUGUGGUUGAAGUAGACGGAAUAUGUCAUGUAGCGGUGAAAUGCAUAGAUAUGACAUAGAACACCAAUUGCGUAGGCAGUUUACUAAACCAUUACUGACGCUCAUGGACGAAAGUGUGGGGAGCGAACAGGAUUAGAUACCCUGGUAGUCCACACCGUAAACUAUGAUCACUAGAUGUUGGCGAUAUACAGUCAGUGUCUUAGAGAAAUCGUUAAGUGAUCCACCUGGGGAGUACGUUCGCAAGAAUGAAACUCAAAGGAAUUGACGGGGGCCCGCACAAGCGGUGGAGCAUGUGGUUUAAUUCGAUGAUACGCGAGGAACCUUACCAAGGCUUAAAUGUAAAACGACCGGUUGAGAAAUCAAUCUUUUUUCGAACGGUUUACAAGGUGCUGCAUGGUUGUCGUCAGCUCGUGCCGUGAGGUGUCGGGUUAAGUCCCAUAACGAGCGCAACCCCUAUUUCUAGUUGCCAGCGAGUAAUGUCGGGAACUCUAGAGAAACUGCCCGUGCAAACGGAGAGGAAGGUGGGGAUGACGUCAAAUCAUCACGGCCCUUAUGUCUUGGGCUACACACGUGCUACAAUGGUCAAUACAGUGGGAUGCCAUCUGGUGACAGAGAGCAAAUCCAUAAAGUUGAUCCCAGUUCGGAUCGGAGUCUGCAACUCGACUCUGUGAAGUUGGAAUCGCUAGUAAUCGCACAUCAGCCAUGGUGCGGUGAAUACGUUCCCGGGCCUUGUACACACCGCCCGUCAAGCCAUGGAAGUUUGGAGUGCCUGAAGUCAGUAACCGAAAGG
rnacentral:rRNA from 1 species